UACGGAGGGUGCAAGCGUUAUCCGGAUUCACUGGGUUUAAAGGGUGCGUAGGUGGGCUGGUAAGUCAGUGGUGAAAUCUCCAGGCUUAACUUGGAAACUGCCAUUGAUACUAUCAGUCUUGAAUACCGUGGAGGUCAGCGGAAUAUGUCAUGUAGCGGUGAAAUGCUUAGAUAUGACAUAGAACACCAAUUGCGAAGGCAGCUUGCUACACGGUUAUUGACACUGAGGCACGAAAGCGUGGGGAUCAAACAGG
rnacentral:rRNA from 1 species